rnacentral:rRNA from 1 species
CACGUAGGGGGCAAGCGUUGUCCGGAUUUAUUGGGCGUAAAGAGCUCGUAGGUGGUUCGGUAAGUCGGGUGUGAAACCUCCAGGCUCAACCUGGAGACGCCACCCGAUACUGCUGUGACUGGAGUCCGGUAGGGGAGUGUGGAAUUCCUGGUGGAGCGGUGAAAUGCGCAGAUAUCAGGAGGAACACCCGUAGCGAAGGCGGCACUCUGGGCCGAUACUGACACUGAGGAGCGAAAGCGUGGGGAGCGAACAGG